AUUGAACGCUGGCGGCAGGCCUAACACAUGCAAGUCGAACGCGUGGCGGACGUCUGAGUAAUGUCUGGGAAACUGCCUGAUGGCGGGGGAUAACUACUGGAAACGGUAGCUAAUACCGCAUACCAUCAGAUGUGCCCAGAUGGGAUUAGCUAGUUGGUGGGGUAACUGCUCACCAAGGCGACGAUCCCUAGCUGGUCUGAGAGGAUGACCAGCCCCACGUAAACUGAGAAACGGUCCAGACUCCGACGGGAGGCAGCAGUGGGGAAUAUUGCACAAUGGGAGCAAGCAUGAUGCAGCCAUGCCGCGUGUAUGAAGAAGGCCUUCGGGUUGUAAAGUACUUUCAGCGGGGAGGCGGGACCCGAAGAAGAAGCACCGGCUAACUCCGUGCCAGCAGCCGCGGUAAUUG
rnacentral:rRNA from 1 species